UACGGAGGGUGCAAGCGUUGCUCGGAAUUACUGGGCGUAAAGCGUGUGUAGGCGGCCUUUUAGGUCGGGUGUGAAAGCCCUGGGCUUAACCCAGGAAAUGCGCCCGAAACCGGAAGGCUUGAGUGCCGGAGAGGGUGGUAGAAUUCCCAGUGUAGAGGUGAAAUUCGUAGAUAUUGGGAGGAACACCAGUGGCGAAGGCGGCCACCUGGACGGACACUGACGCUGAGACACGAAAGCGUGGGGAG
rnacentral:rRNA from 1 species